GGUCAGCAGAAGGCGGGGUUAGCUGGGAGACUUCAUGUACACAAGGUUCUCUUUCAACUUUGCGUGGAAUACCUGCAGAACAGGGACAUAGAGCAUCAGACAAAAGAAACUCUGGGAUCGUUUGCGUACGGGUCAAGGUCCAACCAGAUGGAUGUCUUCCGAUAGAGUCGAGCCUUCUGCCAGGCCAAACCCCCGUACCAUGACCACAUCCAUAUGUUGGGGAAGAGUUGAACAUCUGCAGAUAAGCACAACUUUUAUGCAAAGAAGAAAUCAAGAUGCAAAAUACUGCCAAUGUGUGAAGCAGAAG